UAAAUGGCCGCGGUACUUUGACCGUGCAAAGGUAGCAUAAUCAUUAGUUUUUUAAUUGAAAGCUGGAAUGAAAGGUUUAAUGAAAAAAUAACUGUCUUUAUUAUAUUUAAUUAGAAUUUUAUUUUUAAGUUAAAAAGCUUAAAUUAUAUUUAAAGACGAGAAGACCCUUUAGAGUUUUAUAAUAGUUAAGUUUUUAAUUUUUUAGUAUUAAUUAUGAAAAAGUUUUAUAUUAUUUAGUUGGGGCGAUUAAAAAAUUUAAAAAACUUUUUUUUUUAUUUUACAUUUAUAUAUGAUUAUAUGAUCCAUAAAUUAUGAUUAAAAGAAUAAAUUACCUAAGGGAUAACAGCGUUAUUUUUUUUAAGAGUUCUUAUCGAAAAAAAAGAUUGCGACCUCGAUGUUGGAUUAAAAUUAAAUUAUGGUGUAGAGGCUAUAACUUUAGGUCUGUUCGACCUUUAAAAUUUUACAUGAUCUGAGUUUAAACCGGUUUAAGCCAGGUUGGUUUCUAUCUUAAAUUUAUUAUAAUAUUUUAGUACGAAAGGACCAAGUAUUAUACUUUUAAUAUUAAAUUUUGAAUUAAAUU
rnacentral:rRNA from 1 species